GUUUUGGCAUAGGAGAUGCAGGCAGGCUGCUAAUUUUACAACCUGUCUGAGAUGCUGUGGUCCAGCACCUUAAUACAUAGGUUAUUUGAUGCAUACAUGCCUUCAAGUGAACGAAGCUAUCGUGUUUCAAGCAGUUUAGCAGCAUUAUACGAAUAUCAGGCUAUAUUUUUUUCUGUUCUGCUGUAUUCUUUCAUUGACAAGCUGCAUGCACGAGUCUCCGAUGUUCUGUCUGAGAU